GAAUGGUUGGGGAGACUGUUGAGCUUUAUUUGGUGCCAGAUUUUGAGUGUAGUAACAGGUCGUUUUUGUUUUGGUUUCUCGGUGUGGUGAUGGUGAUUUGGAUUUAUAGUGAAAAAUAAAGCUAUGGUAUUGAAGAUAGUGGCCAUUAGUUUCUUUUAAUGUCAAUUGAAAUGAAUGUAUGGGGGAUUGAAGAUGAGGGAGUGGAGAUUUGAUAAGACGUUUUCAGUUUUUGUUUUUGAAGAAUCUGAAUCGCUAGAAUUUGAGAGAAAGAAGACGACGGUGAAAGGUGGUGAUGGCGAA